rnacentral:rRNA from 1 species
AUGGUGCAAUGCCCGAGUUUGUAUAGGAUUGUUAGACAUAAAUUUUUCACCAUCAAACAAGUUUUGGGACAAGAAAACCCUGAUAUUUCUUUCUGUAGGGACCUUUUAGGACCUCGCCUGGCAGCUUGGAAUGAGCUACUCAUACGUCUAGAGGCUAUUCAGCUGUCAGAUGAACCGGACAUCUUUCGAUGGAAUUUGCAUCAGAAUGGCAAGUUUACAGUCAAAUCCAUGUAUGAUGCAAUGGUGCAUUGUGAUGUUCCGGUUGAUAACAGGAAAAGGUGGAAGCUUAAACUCCCUCUAAGAGUGAAGAUAUUCCUCUGGUUCCUAAACAGAGGGGUCAUCUUAACUAGAGAUAAUCUGGCACGAUGCAACUGGCAAGGCACCAAGGCGUGUUUUUGCCAACAUGACGAGUCUAUUAAGCACUUAUUUUUUGAGUGUUAA